rnacentral:rRNA from 1 species
AACGCGAAGAACCUUACCAAAUCUUGACAUCCUUUGAAAACUCUAGAGAUAGAGCCUUCCCCUUCGGGGGACAAAGUGACAGGUGGUGCAUGGUUGUCGUCAGCUCGUGUCGUGAGAUGUUGGGUUAAGUCCCGCAACGAGCGCAACCCUUAAGCUUAGUUGCCAUCAUUAAGUUGGGCACUCUAGGUUGACUGCCGGUGACAAACCGGAGGAAGGUGGGGAUGACGUCAAAUCAUCAUGCCCCUUAUGAUUUGGGCUACACACGUGCUACAAUGGACAAUACAAAGGGCAGCUAAACCGCGAGGUCAUGCAAAUCCCAUAAAGUUGUUCUCAGUUCGGAUUGUAGUCUGCAACUCGACUACAUGAAGCUGGAAUCGCUAGUAAUCGUAGAUCAGCAUGCGAAUGUCCC